rnacentral:rRNA from 1 species
AUACGUAGGUGACAAGCGUUAUCCGGAUUUACUGGGCGUAAAGGGCGUGUAGGCGGUCUUGCAAGUCAGAAGUGAAAUUCCUGAGCUCAAAUCGGGCGCUGCUUCUGAAACUGCAGGACUUGAGUGCUGGAGGGGAUAGCGGAAUUCCUAGUGGAGCGGUAAAAUGCGCAGAUAUUAGGAAGAACACCGGUGGCGAAGGCGUCUAUCUGGACAGUAACUGACGCUGAUGCGCGAAAGCGUGGGGAGCAAACAGGAUUAGAUACCCUGGUAGUCCACGCCGUAAACGAUGAUGACUAGGUGUGGGGGGACUGAACCCUUCCGUGCCGCAGUUAACACAAUAAGUCAUCCACCUGGGGAGUACGGCCGCAAGGUUGAAACUUAAAGGAAUUGACGGGG